rnacentral:rRNA from 1 species
UGGGGGAUAUUGCACAAUGGGCGAAAGCCUGAUGCAGCGACGCCGCGUGGGGGAUGAAGGCUUUCGGGUUGUAAACCUCUUUCGCUAUCGAACAAGGCCCGCUUAGGGUGGGUUGAGGGUAGGUGGAGAAGAAGCGCCGGCUAACUACGUGCCAGCAGCCGCGGUAAUACGUAGGGCGCGAGCGUUGUCCGGAAUUAUUGGGCGUAAAGGGCUUGUAGGCGGCUUGUUGCGCCUGCUGUGAAAACGCGGGGCUUAACUUCGCGCGUGCAGUGGAUACGGGCAGGCUUGAGUGUGGUAGAGGUGAGUGGAAUUCCAGGUGUAGCGGUGGAAUGCGCAGAUAUCUGGAGGAACACCGAUGGCGAAGGCAGGUCACUGGGCCAUUACUGACGCUGAGGAGCGAAAGCAUGGGUAGCGAACAGG